UCAGGACGAACGCUGGCGGCGUGCCUAAUACAUGCAAGUCGAACGGUCUUUCUAUGGAAGCUUGCUUCCACUGAGAAGAUAGUGGCGAACGGGUGAGUAACACGUGGGUAACCUGCCCAUAAGAGGGGGAUAACAUCCGGAAACGGGUGCUAAUACCGCAUAGUUUUCCUGAUCGCAUGAUCGGGAAAGGAAAGACGGCCUUUGUGCUGUCGCUUAUGGAUGGACCCGCGGCGUAUUAGUUAGUUGGUGAGGUAACGGCUCACCAAGACGAUGAUACGUAGCCGACCUGAGAGGGUGAUCGGCCACAUUGGGACUGAGACACGGCCCAAACUCCUACGGGAGGCAGCAGUAGGGAAUCUUCCGCAAUGGACGAAAGUCUGACGGAGCAACGCCGCGUGAGUGAAGAAAAGGUUUUCGGAUCGUAAAACUCUGUUGUCAGAGAAGAACAAGUUGGAGAGUAACUGCUCCAGCCUUGACGGUAUCUGACCAGAAAGCCACGGCUAACUACGUGCCAGCCGCCGC
rnacentral:rRNA from 1 species